rnacentral:rRNA from 1 species
GGACGAACGCUGGCGGCGUGCUUAACACAUGCAAGUCGAACGGAAAGGCCCUGCUUGCAGGGUACUCGAGUGGCGAACGGGUGAGUAACACGUGGGUGAUCUGCCUUGCACUUCGGGAUAAGCCUGGGAAACUGGGUCUAAUACCGGAUAGGACCAUGCUUUAGUGUGUGUGGUGGAAAGUUUUUCGGUGCAAGAUGAGCCCGCGGCCUAUCAGCUUGUUGGUGGGGUAAUGGCCUACCAAGGCGACGACGGGUAGCCGGCCUGAGAGGGUGUACGGCCACAUUGGGACUGAGACACGGCCCAGACUCCUACGGGAGGCAGCAGUGGGGAAUAUUGCACAAUGGGCGCAAGCCUGAUGCAGCGACGCCGCGUGGGGGAUGAAGGCCUUCGGGUUGUAAACUCCUUUCGCUAGGGAAGAAGCCUUUUGGUGACGGUACCUGGAUAAGAAGCACCGGCUAACUACGU